rnacentral:lncRNA from 1 species
CUCCGAGCUCCGCGGGCUCCGGUGGGGCGGUGGUGGACGGUUUGGCGCGCGAGGUGUAGAGGGGACUCUCUUCCUCCCGAAGAGUGUCCACGGGCGCUCAGUGCGUCCUCACGCACUUUCCUGCUCCAAAAAUUUGGCUAAAGUUUUGUUGGAAAGUAGCAUCCAGAUGUGGGAGAUUGUGAAAAGUCGUGCGUAGAUUUAGGAACUAGAUCCAGAAAAAAGACGAUUACUCAGGGUGGUCAACUGAAGGUGAAGUGCUAUGUUGCCAAAUUGCCGUCUAUACAGGAUGAACCACCUUACACUCCUACUGGUAAAAAUACCCUUUGGUUGUUUUCAGUUGUGAAAAUAAAUGAAGACCACCCAGACGAGGACACACAAAGGCUCUUUAUUCAAAGCUGGCUACAGCGAGGGCGUCAGUGCCGUCACAGGCUGCGCAGAGACUCGAAGGUGGCAGUGGUUCAUGCUUUCUGAUUGCUCUGUAGCAUCCUGUUGAAUGACUAUGCCACAAAACAGGGAAGGGCUGGAGUCUGCCCCACAUUGCUAACACCAUUUCCUCACCUGUUGUGCAUCCUUCAGCCUCCUCCCCUAUCACAAGCAAAGAGAAUUCGCUGGCAUCAAUGCAACCAUGUUAGAAUAAAAGCAUAUUUUAUAAAUAAA